GUUGUCAAAGUUGUAUGGAUGAAAGUGAGGUGGAAACAUCUAGGCACUUUCUCCUUCAUUGUCCAGCCUGUGCAAGACUGAGGUAGAAACAUCUUGACUUGCAGUAUGCCUUACGCCGUUUGGGAAAUCGUUUUAAUAAUAUCUAAUCUAAUUUUUAAUGUGUCUUCUUAUGUCUUUUUACACUUUAUAUGACUGUAUCGCUAAGUAAUUUAAAAAGUGUAAGCACCUGUAUGUCACAUUUCAUAUGCACAAAAGCCGAUUUGUUUAUUCCAUAACACUGCGUAACAUUAAAGGUACUCCUUAAAGCAAGCUAUCAUUUAGGCAAUCGAUUGGAAAAUUACACCUCUCAAGCGAAAGUAAUUCAUAAAUAAAGCAGUGAACAACUGCCUUUCAACUUAAGUGCAAACAUGUACAAAAUACCACCUAAAUAACACAUAACUGUUAAUAUAUGUACUAUAUAUUCGUCAUACCUAUUUAUGUAGUCUGGUAACGAUUUUGACUACAUGCUAUUUUUAAACUUAUUCAUAACAGAAACUGCCCGAGUAAUGUAAAAUAUGAAUAAUAUAACAUACAUUUUGGUUUAUAUGUGAUCUGUAUAUAUAUUUAGAUAUGAAAUUGGUAUACAUAAGUGGCUAUUUUGCAAAAAUGUCAAGAUAUUUGAAAACUCUGUAAUUAUAUAAAUUUCAGUUUUUGUUUUAAUUGAAUAUAACAUAGAUACCAUAUGCGCAUCCGACUGUAUGUAUGUAUGCUUGUACCCAUAGAUAACUUUAUUGCGAUAAAUAAUUUCUAGUUUAAAUAUUUAGCGAAAUGUGUAAAUAAAACUAUACAUAUGCCAAACUAUUUCAUUUCUUAUUCCAUAGUACGAAAUUAAAAUAAUGUAUGUACUUAUAUAUGCAGAUCCGUAUACAGAUUCACGCAUACGCAUUUGUUCAUUUGUUUAAUUGCUGGAAAUAAGUGUUUACAUACAUACAUACACAUGACCCUCAGUGCAGAUGCCGAGAAGAAUUUUUCUCUAUUUUUGACGUUAAGAAAGCAUACAUUUUGUUUUUGUUAAAAGGUGUUCUGGUUCAAAAUUAAAAUUCUAAAAUAUAUGUACUGUGAAAAUCACGGUAAUCGAAACAAUAACAACCUGUCGAAUGUAUACAUGUGUGCGUGUGAUUGUAGGUGUAUAAGAGUCAAAAUAAUUUUCCUUAUGUAGGUGCACAUUCAUGUACAUAAUACGUAUGUAAACACUUACGUAAGUAUUUCGUUAGUAAACUUAUGUCUUGCACAUUCGCCCCAAAAAAUCAUUUGCAACCGAAAAUUCCUCUCCACCACGAUUUCGUUUUAGUUUUUGUUUUAAUUUUUCCAUGACCAUCAUCUAUACAAAUUCAAUCAAUAUCUAUCAGUUCAACAAUGUUUUGAGAGCAUUUUAGUUUACGUACAUAUGUAUGCGGAUUGUGUGAUUGGAGAAUUCGUACGUAUCCGAAAUUGCCGCAAAUCGGAUUCAACAAGAAUACAUAGUAUCCGGCAUUCUGUUGACCUGAAACUUUCGUUCAAUUUUCCGUGGCAUUGCUCCAGCAGGUAGUAGAAGUUUAUUUUCUGAUCGACCACCACAUGUUUUCGAAGACAAAUACCAUAGAAAUAAAACAGAUGUAGUCGAAUCUAUAAACAUACUUACAUUAUGUUUGUAACGCUUAUAUUUAUAAAUAUGGUGGCAAAAAUCAUCAAAGUAUCCCUAAUGAUACUUGUAUAAGCAAUGCUAAAUUCAGCAUUCUAUGAAAGGACAGUAAUUCACAUCGCUAUGCUUUUGAAAAUUUCAGAGCGUUUCCAAAUAACCAUAUUAUAUAAUAUGUGCCCUGCAGGAAUAUACAAACUAGCAAAGUUCGAAGUUGUCAUGUGGACGAAAGUCGUUAAGGUUCAGAACAGAUGCAUUUUCUAAAUUAGAAAGGUUUCAUUAUAUUCAUAUUUGUAUAUGUAUGUAAAGAAAUUAAUUCAUACUCAGAGAAAUAUUAGUAAAACUUCGUUUAUGCACUGCAUUUAUAAAUUUCUUUUGAAGAGUUCGGUUGUAAAAACAUUUAGAACUGUAUUAUGUAAAUAUUCGAACAAAAUUAUAAUUUUAUAUGCUUAGAUGAUAUUAGCUUUGAAUUUAUUGAGCAUUUCUACAGAUCGCAGGAAGACAUUUAGAUUUUUUAUGUUCUACCGGAGCACGCGCGCGGAUUAAUCUACAAGUAUUUGUGUAUAGAAACAUGUCCAUUGGUAGAUAAAAGGGAUUACAUAUGUGUAAGACUAAACUGAACAGCUAAGCAAGGUCCAGAUUAGCAUCAAAGCUCUCAAAAUUCGAUCCUGUAUGAUUUCAUAUUAGUAAAAAUUGUAGAAAUCUUUACAUGUCAGAUUUAGAACGCCUCCAUAUUUUUACCUUAGCGGAAAGUAAUUUGUUAAUUUUCUACUUCAGUAAGUUUUUCAAUUUACUAUUUAAAUAACAAGCUUUAUUCGAUAUUACUCUUAACACGAUAAGCUACUGAUACAUAAAUAGGUACACGUAUACUUUUGUUGCCCUCUAUUUUUGUGUGCGUUGUAUAUACUAUAUACGUAUGUAUGUAAGAAUAUGAUUAAUAUAUUAGGAAUUCUACAAUUAAUUUUAGACUUAAGUACGGAUCGAUUUCAUCAAUUUUGUCAACCCAAUUUAAUGUAUCCUGAAUAUAUCCUCAAAAAGAUAACAGCCGAAUUAUGGAUACAAGUGAGCACGAAUUGAGUGAUAUUAUUGAGAUUAUAUCGCCCGAAUUGGAUGAUAUUUCAUCCUCUUCCAAACCUUAUCUUCGCGUUGUAGAACAGCCUUCAAGAAAACCGAUGAGAUUUCGGUACAAUAGUGAAGGUCGUACAGCCGGAAAUAUACCUGGUGAGAAUUCAUUUCAGGAAACCAAAACAUUUCCUACUGUCGAAGUCGUAGGCUACGAAGGAAAAGCGCGAAUUCUGGUGUCUUGUGUUACAAAGGAUAAGCCUUUUCGACAACAUCCACAUCAGUUGGUAGGUCAGGAGUGUAAACAUGGUUAUUGUAUUAGAUAUGUUGGACCCGAUACACCACUACGUGUCGAACUCAGUAAUAUUGGAAUACGAUGUGUAAAGAAAAAAGAAAUUUCGGAGUCUUUAGAGAAGCGAAAAAAUAGGAAAAUUGACCCUUUCAAGACUGGGUUUGAUCACAUAACUGAUCCGAACUCAAUUGAAUUGAAUUCAUUACGUUUGUGCUUUCAAGGCUUUAUAAAAGUUGGGAACGGUUGGAAAGCGCUGAGCCCAGUGGUUUCGGAACCUCUCUAUGACCGAAAAGCAAAAAGUGAAUUGCUUAUUAGUCGCCUUUGUAGCUGCGCAGCCACUAUUGAUGGAGGAGAUGAAAUAAUUUUGCUCUGUUCGCAAGUCAAUAAAGAUGAUGUGAAAAUUCGCUUCAAAGCGAUCGAUAACAAUCGCGAAGUUUGGCAUGCAUACGCCGAUUUCGAACCGUCCAAUGUACAUAAACAGACAGCAAUUGUAUUUCGCACACCACGCUAUCCUCAGGCGGAUUUGCCAAAAACUGCCAAAACAUACAUUGAGUUGGAAAGACCCAGUCUGGAUAAACGGAGUGACGCUUUGGAGUUCGUGUUUCAUGAUCCAGGUACGCUAUCCUUUGCCAGUAUGCGCCGCAAACUUAAGCGAAAACAAGAAGUGGAUAUAUUUCAACAUAUAUUGUCCAUGGAUAGUGAAACGACUGCAACAAAAUACUCUUGCCCCCCUUCUGAUAUUGAUUUCGAUUUGGAUGAUAUUGCUACCUUAUCAACAGAAUGCACCGAGAGUGCCGUUAGCAAGCAACAUAGUUUAGAUACACUUAAUGAAACCGAAAGUAUAGCUCGGUGCAAAAGAGAAAGUAUUACCGACGCUGAUGAAGAUAUUAAAUUUUAUAGACCCAAUGAUAUUGAAUACGACUUCGAAGCGCCAACCAUGAAUUGUCAAGCUGUGGAUACAGACACUCAAACAUCGACACCAAUUGAUCAAAUACUUAAUCCAUCACAGAUCGAAUCGCGUUCAUUAUCCGCAGUCGAUAAAAUCACUGAAUGGAUGUGCUCUAAUGAGUUCGAACGAACCGAUAGCUUAACAGUUGAGAACGGUGAUACAACUUCAAUCAGUCCAAUAACAGUAUAUACCAACAUGGCAAGUUUAUCAACCAACCACACGACUAUAUCGACUGCUACUGACGACGACAAAACCAUUACUGAUCAAAUGGAUCAAGUGCCCGAACUCGAUGACAUGAUUACAGAAACAAAAUCUCGACGGGGCACAUUUGACAGCCCUAUGAUACAGAACUUGUCGUUAGGUGGGUCACCGAUUUUCGACAAUAAAUCAAUUGAAACAAUGGUAGAGGUGGUCAACACAAGAGGAAAGGAGAGUUUUGAUGAGGCCUCAACAUAUACAAAUUUACAAAUUACUGUAAAAAAUCCAUUUUCCAUUGAUUAUUUAGACACAAAAACGCUUGGAGGAGUUACCAAUGACGAACUUGGCAUGGUGGUAUUAAAAAAUCCCCCUGCACCGAAAAUACGCGUAAAUGUUGCCCAAACGCCUCCAUCACCAUCUUCUCCCCCACUACCUUUACCACCACGUACACCCUCUCCCGGUCCUGAACAAAGCCUUCCUCCAAUUCCACCGAAAAGAAAAACAUCACAAGAACUCUGUACAAACUCAUCGGUUACACAUGAUUCCUUAGAACUUUCUCGCACGAAUAGUGUGUCCUCACGACAUCCGUCACAAAUAAUCAUUAUGCGAACACCAGAUCAAAGUCCAACCAAACGACAAACUACACUCACUUCAUCACCAAAGAAACGUCAAGGAUUUUUCUCUCGACUUUUUUCACGACGCAAAAGUAAAACUGAAAUAAUGACUAACGAUAAAUCCAUAAAAAAUCAAUCAAACAAAGUGACAACACUUUUUGACAGUAGGGAGCUUAGUAUUGGAAACUUUUCUAUCGGGGAACCAAAUCGGUGCUCCCUACGCUCGAUUAAUUCUGCGACGCUACAAGUUAAUUCCAACUAUUUAGAUUCCCACAACAACGUUGCUGAACGAAAUGAGAGCAAUAGAAAUGGUAAACCGGUUGGUCGCAGUGUAAGUAGUAUUUCUGGCAAGAGACCGGCAUAUUUAAAUACAGACGUAGUUCAUAUCCCUCUAAAAGGUGAAAACGCUAAAAGUUUACCCUCCAACGAAGGUAAAGCUUUCACUUUUGGUCAAUAUUUGGACCGAAGAACUCUUAGUGCUCUUCAAUUAGCCGAAAUACCCGUUUGUGAUGGGAAGAUGGAACUAUUAGCUAUUGCCGAUAGACAAAGCAUAAAAAAUCUAUGCGAAGGGGAAUUCGGUGUCACACUCGAUGCGGAGGUAGACUUGCAGGAGGCCGAACACUUUGCACUAUAUACGAGUAUACCACCAGAGCGUCAAUUCACUGCAAAUAGUUCCGAUAUUGAGUUGAAAAUCUGCACAUCUAUGGACGAUGUACAAGUAAUAACAGCUGACGAAAUCGCCAAACGACUGAAUGAAGCAAAUAGAAUGCCAAUUUUUUAAUAUUUAUUCACUAAUUUUUAAUUUAGGGAAUGGCAGUGAAAAUAGUACAUAUGUAUGUAUAUGUAUAUGCAUAUGUAUAUUUUUUCAAGAUCUGAGAAGAUUCAUAUUAAACCCCUUUUAAAGAUUCGAGAUGUCUCAUAUAUUUCCAUUAUAGAUCGUUAUAAAAGAGAAAGAAAACGUCGGAAGAUUAGUGGAGAAAGUCUCAUAAACCAGAUGAACAGAGAUAUGGGCUUAAACUUAAAUUAUCAAAGCAUUUCAAUGAAUAAUACUUUCAACUUGCCUGUCACCACAGUCACACACAACUACCAAAUGCCACCGCUGUCACAGUUAUCGCCAAUACCACCACAAAAUUGUAAUGCAACACCAUCGCCGAUCACCCCUUCUUCCAAGUAUGCAGAUCAACUAAGCACACUAAUUCAGGAUACUACUUGUACAAAUCAGGCAGCAAGUUGUCAAACGCUUCAUACCAUAUUAAAUGAUCGAAAAAAGCAAGAACUUGACUACAACACCAUAGGCAACGUUAACGUUUACAAUGACAACACAAAUUACCAAAUUACGAACGGCCACUAUUUAGGUACUGUCCGUAACACUACCAGCGGUGGUUACUUUCAACCUAUUAAAGAAAAAAUUGAAAUGGAUACCAAAUGUGACUUAUCUGCAAUGAAUAAUAUUUUCAAUUUGCCUGUAAUCUCAACAACACCACCACAUCCAGAUAUCAAAGAUGAGCCAAUAGGAGCUGCAAUGCCAAUAAAGUUUACAGCAGUUGAGCAACAUUUUGAUCCAUACAGAAGCAACUACCUAAUGUCACCGCAGUCACAGUUGUCGCCAAUGUCACCACAAAAUCGUAAUGCAACACCGUCGCCGAUCUCACCUUCCCCCAACGGUGCUUAUACGGACCAAUUGUGCACACUAAUGCAGGAUAGCACAAUUGAGACAACAAAAUGUCAAACGCUUGAUGCCAUAUUUAAUGGUCGGGAAAACCAAGAAUUCGACUACAACGCCAGAGGCAACAUUAACGCCUACAAUGACAACACAAAUUACCAAAUUACGAACGGACAUUAUUUUGGUACUGUACGUAACACUACCAGUGGUGGUUACUUUGAACGUAUUAACAAUACCGCAGGAGUAUGUACCCCUGCGAUACAUAAUGUACAGGUUACAGAGCAACAGCUCCAAAAUUCUAUUUCGGAUAAGGAAGAGAUUGAAAGAAUUAUAUUGGAUCUCAUGCAAACGCCUAUGACGCAAUCGCCUGCUCAACUAACUGAUCCCAAGCAAAACAAUUGCCAAGACAAUGCAAAUAUCGAUUUUUUUAAAUAAUUAUCACAAAUAUAAUGAGAUAAGAAAAUUUGUUCCUGGGGUUAGAUUUAAAAUCUUUCUCUAGUUUUUUACAUUUAAAAGUUGACCGGUUAGAAUUAGUAAUUUUCUUAUAAACAUAUGUAUAUAUCAAUUUAUUGUAAGAUUCGAACAAUACAUUUAAGUAUACUUCAGAACUUAACUUAAUGAAAACAAACAUAUAUUUUAUUAAGUAUAGAUAAAACCUCUGUAGUUGAUAUAGAGUUAAUAUGCAGACUAGGGGUUUGGCUUCCAACAUAAAGAUGAUAUCGAAAGACAACAAUAAAGCAAGAGAAAUGUGAAUAAAGUUAUUUAUUUGUAUAUAAGUACAAAUAUUCAACAUUUUCAUGAUCAUUUAGUGAACCUUUUUACACUUUAAUUUGAUUGCAAAUCUCAUGAUAAAUUUUAAUUUACUAAUUAAAUAUAACUGGUAUACGAUAAUUUUGCAUUAUGAA